UGUUAGCAAUUCCUAGGUUAUGGCUGCCAUUCUGGAAGUUGGAGAGAACAUGGAACACAAUUUUCUUCAGUUUGAUCUCGCCCUAAAGCAGAUUGAACCAGACACAGCCCGCAAGACUCCUGAUUAUUUUUUUAUAAAUAUAAUUCAACUUUCUCCUCACUUGUUCUUCUUUGUAGAUACAACUGAUAAUAAUAAGAAAACAAGGUAAAGGUUGGAAUACGGAAUGGAAUGGAAUGAAGUGAUUCAUUCCAUUCCAUGUCUUCCCUCUCUAUUUUUCUUUCUCAUUUUUAUUCUAAUGAUCAAAGUUCUUGUUGUUAAUAUCAGUUUCCCUGUUCUUUUUUUAUACUUGAUGCACCCUUGUGUUUGAGGCUUUGAGCGUAUGGAGCUAUAUCCAAUAAUGAGAAUGAGGGCAUUUCCGCCUUUUACACAUACAAGAUUUUUGGGUGGGACAAAAUUGCAAGUUUUGUCCCUUUGCAACUUGGAAUUGUAGUACACGGGAAGAUUGUAAUGUAAUAUGUUUAUAUGCAAAUGUAGGCAAUUGAGAAACUAAUAUCUUCUUUCUUACUGGGAACAUAUGUCUCUACUCUCCUGUUGAAGAUGUUCAUCUGAUUCCUCAAAGUAUUUGGAGAAAUAUUGAAACUUUGGGUCUUUCAGAAGUUGGAAAGCGUGAAGAUAUUGUUCAGAAUGCUUGUGAAGCUUUGUGUAAGCUUAAAAGUGAAGGGGAUGAAGCCAAAGGGAUUCUCAACGGAGUUCUGACUUCAGAUUUUUCUAGAAAAGGAGACUCUGAUUUUGAAAGUACGCGUGAGACACUUCUUCAUGUCCUUUCAAAUUUGACUUUUGUACAAUCAUACUUUGAUUUCUUUUCGAAAAAAACCGAUGAAAAACUUAUGGAAAUUGAAGAGGCUGAAAUUGAAUUGGAUCUAGUACAGAAAGAGCAGGCUGUUGAGGAGUCAUCUAAUGAUGUCACAGAUUGGAGAAAGCUAAAGCUUCCUUUUCUAGCCAAUAACAUUCUUUUUUUUGAAUUUAUGAAUUUAUAAUUAAUCUCCAUGUGUCAAUAUUUCUCAUGCCACUUUGUUUAAAUCCAGAUUAUGAGAAGGAAGAUAAACGUCUUCAAGAAAUUAAGGAUCACAUUCAG